rnacentral:rRNA from 1 species
AACGAACGCUGGCGGCGCGUCCUAAGCAUGCAAGUCGAACGGCAAGAGAGGAGCUUGCUUCUCUCCUAGAGUGGCGGACUGGUGAGGAACACGUGGGUAAUCUACCCUUAAGAUGGGGAUAGCUGCUAGAAAUAGCAGGUAAUACCGAAUACACUCGGCAUAUCACAAGAGAUGUUGAGGAAAGGAAGCUACGGCUUCGCUUGAGGAUGAGCUUGCGUCCCAUUAGCUAGUUGGUGAGGUAAAGGCCCACCAAGGCGACGAUGGGUAUCCGGCCUGAGAGGGUGAACGGACACAUUGGGACUGAGAUACGGCCCAAACUCCUACGGGAGGCAGCAGCUAAGAAUAUUCCGCAAUGGACGGAAGUCUGACGGAGCGACGCCGCGUGGAUGAAGAAGGCUGAAAAGUUGUAAAAUCCUUUUGUUGAUGAAGAAUAAGGGUGAGAGGGAAUGCUCAUCUGAUGACGGUAAUCGACGAAUAAGCCCCGGCUAAUUACGUGCCAGCAGCCGCGGUAACACGUAAGGGGCGAGCGUUGUUCGGAAUUAUUGGGCGUAAAGGGCAUGUAGGCGGCUAUGUAAGCCUGAUGUGAAAUCCUGGGGCUUAACCCUAGAAUAGCAUUGGGUACUGUAUAGCUUGAAUUACGGAAGGGAAACUGGAAUUCCAAGUGUAGGGGUGGAAUCUGUAGAUAUUUGGAAGAACACCGGUGGCGAAGGCGGGGUUUCUGGGCCGAUAAUUGACGCUUAGAUAGAAAGUGCGGGGAUCGAAUAG